AUGGUAUGGUGCUGCUCUUUGAUGAAGAUCAAUCUAGGUUCAUUGGUAGUUUGGUGUAUAGGCUCUGGAGUCCGGAUGUGUAAAACAGAUGCUUCUGCUCCAGCCAAGAGCUUUGGUGUCGCCUGCGUUUUCUGGACUAUAGCCGUUGACGUUUUGUCUCUUUUCUUCCGCUGGGAUGUUAACAGACAAUUUCGUUGUUUAGUUUUUGUUUCAGUUGACAUGAUUUACAAGGUCUGUAACAGAAAAUACUGA
rnacentral:rRNA from 1 species